rnacentral:rRNA from 1 species
UACGAAGGGGGCGAGCGUUGUUCGGAUUUACUGGGCGUAAAGCGCGCGUAGGCGGUUCUUUAAGUUUGGGGUGAAAGGUUCAGUGCUCAACGCGAACAGUGCCCUGGAGACUGGAGAACUUGAGUGUAGGAGGGGGCAGUGGAAUUCCUGGUGUAGCGGUGAAAUGCGUAGAUAUCAGGAGGAACACCGGUGGCGAAGGCGGCUGCCUGGCCUAACACUGACGCUGAGGUGCGAAAGCGUGGGGAGCGAACGGG